rnacentral:rRNA from 1 species
AUGGCAGAAUGCUUCAAUAAGGUGCUCAAGGGUGUACGUGCAUUACCCGUGACGGCAAUAGUUCAAUACACAUUUGGCAAGAUGAAUGGAUACUUUUUAAAGUACUCAAUGGAGACGGAUAAGCAGAUUGCUGGUGAGAACAAGGAUAAGCACAAGUACUAUUUCCCACCAAAGGUUGAAGAAUGGUUGGACUUUCAAUCACAAAAGGCAGAUCAAGAAGCUGUACUAUAUGACGACAACGAGUGGAAGUAUGAAGUGAAAGAGCCUGGAGGAACCACAAACAAUGGGCACCAACACGGAGGCCGCGCUUUCAAGGUCUCCCUAACACGGUGUGAUUGCAGCUGCAUGAGGCCAUCGUUGCUUCAUCUCCCAUGCUCGCACUUGUUAAAUGCAUCCCGUGUUAGGAAUGUGGACGUCAAUCACCCUCUUACCGUGAGGGAGUCCGAGUUCUCAAUCAUGACGGUAAAGAAUACAUGGGCUCCCCCGUUUCAGCCAUACUUGGACCAAUCACAAUGGCCGGAGUAUCAUGGAGUUCAACUAUGGCCGGACCCG